rnacentral:rRNA from 1 species
UGGUGGGUAGUUUGACUGGGGCGGUCUCCUCCCAAAGCGUAACGGAGGAGCACGAAGGUUAGCUAAUCCUGGUCGGACAUCAGGAGGUUAGUGCAAUGGCAUAAGCUAGCUUGACUGCGAGCGUGACGGCGCGAGCAGGUGCGAAAGCAGGUCAUAGUGAUCCGGUGGUUCUGAAUGGAAGGGCCAUCGCUCAACGGAUAAAAGGUACUCCGGGGAUAACAGGCUGAUACCGCCCAAGAGUUCAUAUCGACGGCGGUGUUUGGCACCUCGAUGUCGGCUCAUCACAUCCUGGGGCUGAAGUAGGUCCCAAGGGUAUGGCUGUUCGCCAUUUAAAGUGGUACGCGAGCUGGGUUUAGAACGUCGUGAGACAGUUCGGUCCCUAUCUGCCGUGGGCGCUGGAGAAUUGAGGGGGGCUGCUCCUAGUACGAGAGGACCGGAGUGGACGCAUCACUGGUGUUCG